UAUUCUGCCCUACAGGGAAGGAAGAGAAGCUUCGACUAAGGUUCGACUCGAGCGAAGCGAGAGAACGUUGCCGCAGGCAACGGCCCGAAGGGCGAGGCGC
rnacentral:sRNA from 1 species